UCAACCUUUGGACCUGGGGCUUACCAUC
rnacentral:piRNA from 1 species